rnacentral:rRNA from 1 species
UACGUAGGGCGCAAGCGUUGUCCGGAAUUAUUGGGCGUAAAGAGCUCGUAGGCGGUUUGUCGCGUCUGCUGUGAAAACCUAAGGCUCAACCUUGGGCUUGCAGUGGGUACGGGCAGACUAGAGUGCGGUAGGGGUGACUGGAAUUCCUGGUGUAGCGGUGGAGUGCGCAGAUAUCAGGAGGAACACCGAUGGCGAAGGCAGGUCACUGGGCCGUAACUGACGCUGAGGAGCGAAAGCAUGGGGAGCGAACAGG